CAAAAACAUCGCCUCUUGCAAACUUAAUAAAUAAGAGGUCCCGCCUGCCCUGUGACUAUUAGUUUAACGGCCGCGGUAUUUUGACCGUGCGAAGGUAGCGCAAUCACUUGUCUUUUAAAUGAAGACCUGUAUGAAUGGCAUAACGAGGGCUUAACUGUCUCCUCUUUCCAGUCAAUGAAAUUGAUCUUUCCGUGCAGAAGCGGGAAUGAAAACAUAAGACGAGAAGACCCUAUGGAGCUUUAGACACCAAGGCAGAUCAUGUUAAUAACCCUGAAUAAAGGACUAAACCAAAUGGAACCUGCCCUAAUGUCUUUGGUUGGGGCGACCGCGGGGAAUUAGAAAACCCCCACGUGGAAUGGGAGCACCCCUCCUACAGCUAAGAGCAACAGCUCUAGUAAACAGAAAUUCUGACCAGUAAGAUCCGGCAAUGCCGAUCAACGGACCGAGUUACCCUAGGGAUAACAGCGCAAUCCUCUUUUAGAGCCCAUAUCGACAAGGGGGUUUACGACCUCGAUGUUGGAUCAGGACAUCCUAAUGGUGCAGCCGCUAUUAAGGGUUCGUUUGUUCAACGAUUAAAGUCCUACGUGAUCUG
rnacentral:rRNA from 1 species